GUAGUCUGCAACCCGACUACAUGAAGCUGGAAUCGCUAGUAAUCGCGGAUCAGAAUGCCGCGGUGAAUACGUUCCCGGGUCUUGUACACACCGCCCGUCACACCAUGGGAGUCGGAAAUGCCCGAAGUCUGUGACCCAACCGUAAGGAGGGAGCAGCCGAAGGCAGGUCGGAUGACUGGGGUGAAGUCGUAACAAGGUACC
rnacentral:rRNA from 1 species